rnacentral:rRNA from 1 species
AGAGUUUGAUCAUGGCUCAGAUUGAACGCUGGCGGCAGGCCUAACACAUGCAAGUCGAACGGUAACAGGAAGCAGCUUGCUGCUUUGCUGACGAGUGGCGGACGGGUGAGUAAUGUCUGGGAAACUGCCUGAUGGAGGGGGAUAACUACUGGAAACGGUGGCUAAUACCGCAUAACGUCGCAAGACCAAAGAGGGGGACCUUCGGGCCUCUUGCCAUCAGAUGUGCCCAGAUGGGAUUAGCUUGUUGGUGAGGUAACGGCUCACCAAGGCGACGAUCCCUAGCUGGUCUGAGAGGAUGACCAGCCACACUGGAACUGAGACACGGUCCAGACUCCUACGGGAGGCAGCAGUGGGGAAUAUUGCACAAUGGGCGCAAGCCUGAUGCAGCCAUGCCACGUGUAUGAAGAAGGCCUUCGGGUUGUAAAGUACUUUCAGCGGGGAGGAAGGUGUUGUGGUUAAUAACCGCAGCAAUUGACGUUACCCGCAGAAGAAGCACCGGCUAACUCCGUGCCAGCAGCCGCGGUAAUACGGAGGGUGCAAGCGUUAAUCGGAAUUACUGGGCGUAAAGCGCACGCAGGCGGUCUGUCAAGUCGGAUGUGAAAUCCCCGGGCUCAACCUGGGAACUGCAUUCGAAACUGGCAGGCUUGAGUCUUGUAGAGGGGGGUAGAAUUCCAGGUGUAGCGGUGAAAUGCGUAGAGAUCUGGAGGAAUACCGGUGGCGAAGGCGGCCCCCUGGACAAAGACUGACGCUCAGGUGCGAAAGCGUGGGGAGCAAACAGGAUUAGAUACCCUGGUAGUCCACGCCGUAAACGAUGUCUACUUGGAGGUUGUGCCCUUGAGGCGUGGCUUCCGGAGCUAACGCGUUAAGUAGACCGCCUGGGGAGUACGGCCGCAAGGUUAAAACUCAAAUGAAUUGACGGGGGCCCGCACAAGCGGUGGAGCAUGUGGUUUAAUUCGAUGCAACGCGAAGAACCUUACCUGGUCUUGACAUCCACAGAACUUUCCAGAGAUGGAUUGGUGCCUUCGGGAACUGUGAGACAGGUGCUGCAUGGCUGUCGUCAGCUCGUGUUGUGAAAUGUUGGGUUAAGUCCCGCAACGAGCGCAACCCUUAUCCUUUGUUGCCAGCGGUCCGGCCGGGAACUCAAAGGAGACUGCCAGUGAUAAACUGGAGGAAGGUGGGGAUGACGUCAAGUCAUCAUGGCCCUUACGACCAGGGCUACACACGUGCUACAAUGGCGCAUACAAAGAGAAGCGACCUCGCGAGAGCAAGCGGACCUCAUAAAGUGCGUCGUAGUCCGGAUUGGAGUCUGCAACUCGACUCCAUGAAGUCGGAAUCGCUAGUAAUCGUGGAUCAGAAUGCCACGGUGAAUACGUUCCCGGGCCUUGUACACACCGCCCGUCACACCAUGGGAGUGGGUUGCAAAAGAAGUAGGUAGCUUAACCUUCGGGAGGGCGCUUACCACUUUGUGAUUCAUGACUGGGGUGAAGUCGUAACAAGGUAACCGUAGGGGAACCUGCGGUUGGAUCACCU